rnacentral:rRNA from 1 species
AGAGUUUGAUCAUGGCUCAGAUUGAACGCUGGCGGCAGGCCUAACACAUGCAAGUCGAACGGUAGCACAGAGAGCUUGCUCUCGGGUGACGAGUGGCGGACGGGUGAGUAAUGUCUGGGAAACUGCCUGAUGGCGGGGGAUAACUACUGGAAACGGUAGCUAAUACCGCAUAAUGUCUACGGACCAAAGCGGGGGACCUCCGGGCCUCGCGCCAUCAGAUGAACCCAUAUGGGAUUAGCUAGUAGGUGAGGUAACGGCUUACCUAGGCGACGAUCCCUAGCUGGUCUGAGAGGAUGAUCAGCCACACUGGAACUGAGACACGGUCCAGACUCCUACGGGAGGCAGCAGUGGGGAAUAUUGCACAAUGGGGGAAACCCUGAUGCAGCCAUGCCGCGUGUGUGAAGAAGGCCUUCGGGUUGUAAAGCACUUUCAGCGAGGAGGAAAGGUUGGUGCCUAAUACGUAUCAACUGUGACGUUACUCGCAGAAGAAGCACCGGCUAACUCCGUGCCAGCCGCCGCGGUAAUAC